AAUUAUUUGGUCUCUGGCACAAUCACAAGGCUCCUAAAACCCUUGUCAUUUCCUGAGCCACAGGGGUUUUAGGAGCAUCUUUCAUUCUAGUGUUUGGUCUUUGACCCCGGUUCCCAACAAACAGCUCCUACUCCCUUGGAAUUUAUUGGGUGAUGGGAGUGUCUUGUUCUAAUGAAGCAACUCUAAUGGGCUCCUGGACGGGGCUGGUCACCAGAAAGACCAGGUUAUGCUGAGAAGCUUGAAACCGUCAGUCCCCCGCCACCCCAUCCUCUGGGAAGGGAAGAGGAGCUGGAGAUCAUGCCCAUGUGAUGAGGCCUCCGUCAAAGUCCUUGCACUCCGGGAUGUGGCUGCCGGACAUGCGGAGGCGCUGGGAGAGCGGCACACCUGGAGAGGGCGUGGAAGCUCCAACACCCCACCUCCACACCGCGUGCUAUGCAUCUCUCCCGUCCAGCUGCUCCUGGGUUUCAGUCUUUCCUAAUGAACAGACGGAGCUUCCCUAUGUUGUCCAGCCUGGUCUUGAACUCCUGGCCUCAAGCAAUCCUCCUGCCUUGGCUUCCUAAAGUGCUGAAAUUACAGAGGCGCUGACACAGAAAGGAGUGACCUCUCCAACCUUCCAUAAAUCAUCAGAACACUGCAGAGUGACAGUGGGAACUCCAGAGAUUAAACACGGAGGUGAGGCUGGCCAGGGAUCACAAGAGGCCCAACACCCAGACAGUACGGAACCUGGGUGGGCACCUCGUCCGUUUUGUCAUCCACAGACCAGAGGCUUCUGCACUUCUGAUGACUCCAUCCAGAUCUCCAGCUUGUCCUGUGGACCCAUCCAUGCAGAAGCAGACUCGGCAGGCACAAGGACCAUUUUCCACACCCCUAUGAUUGCACCUCAUCCAAUCAGCAGCACCCACUCCCUAGUCCCCAGCUCCCUCCAGAUUAUCCUUGAAAAACCCUAGCCUCUGAAUUUUGGGGGAGAUUGACUUAAGUAAUAAAAUUCCAGUCUCCCACUUAGCCAGCUCUGUGUGAACUAAACUCUUUCUCUAUUGCAAUUCCCAUCUUGAUGAGUCAACUGAGGUAAAGAGCAACCUGGCUGAAGGUCAACAGCAGGGCUUUUUAAUCAGAUCCAUGCUGCCCCAAAAUAAUGAAACCCUGGAUCAGCUUCUUUUCCAAAUCUUGAGAAUACAGGCUCCUGGGCUGUGAAAUACAAUUUGAAAAUGUUUCUCUUCUAACAAAGAGUGCAAUGUCUUGAGUACUUUAACAUACUGUUUUCUGAAAUCUCACUGUUUGCUGGUAGGUAUCAAUGGCUUUGGUGUGGGGCGUCUGAUAUGUCUAUAUAAAGAAUCUCAUGCUGCCCCAGGAAAAAGCACAUAUAUCCAUAUUUUUGUUUGAUUUUGUAAAGCUUAUUGUACAAGAUCACAUUUUUGUUUUAAUAAAGAACAAAAAUGAAGUUUCAACAUUUGUGAAGAAACAUAGUUUUUGAGAGAAGAUAAUUUGGUCAGAAGCAUUACUUGUUAUUUUGCCUUCUAUUAAAGUUUUCUCAGAAAUCAGAUUCCCUAUGUGAAAAAUCUGACUUCUGUAUAAUAGGU
rnacentral:lncRNA from 1 species